AGCAGAUUGAUGAUGAAACAAUUUCUCCAAGUUACGCUGAUCCAUAUGAUGGAGGGCUAUGGUAACAUAGCCUUCAUAGUUUUCAAUCUGAACCAUCU
rfam:Oryza glaberrima chromosome 12 Oglab12_0209_15, whole genome shotgun sequence.